rnacentral:rRNA from 1 species
UGUACACACCGCCCGUCGCUACUACCGAUUGAAUGGCUCAGUGAGGCGUUCGGACUGGCCCAGGGAGGUCGGCAACGACCACCCAGGGCCGGAAAGUUCGUCAAACUUGGUCAUUUAGAGGAAGUAAAAGUCGUAACAAGGUCUCCGUAGGUGAACCUGCGGAGGGAUCAUUA